AUCCAGGCAAGAACAACGAUGGUUUAUCUGCAACUAAUGUGGGGAUCCAGUGUGCAGUGGCUGCAGACAGCAGCCUCCUUGGUAGUGGACAGAGCCUACUGCUUUAUGGGUUGGCCCAAGGAACCUCAGGCAGCC
rnacentral:snoRNA from 1 species